rnacentral:rRNA from 1 species
UACGUAGGGUGCGAGCGUUAAUCGGAAUUACUGGGCGUAAAGCGUGCGCAGGCGGUUGUGCAAGACAGAUGUGAAAUCCCCGGGCUUAACCUGGGAAUGGCAUUUGUGACUGGAAGGCUAGAGUGUGUCAGAGGGGGGUAGAAUUCCACGUGUAGCAGUGAAAUGCGUAGAGAUGUGGAGGAAUACCGAUGGCGAAGGCAGCCCCCUGGGAUAACACUGACGCUCAUGCACGAAAGCGUGGGGAGCAAACAGG